rnacentral:rRNA from 1 species
CGGCGAACGGGUGAGUAACACGUGGGCAACCUGCCCCUAGCUCUGGGACAACUCCUCGAAAGAGGGGCUAAUACCGGAUAUGACCUGGGAGUGCAUUCUUCUGGGUGGAAAGUUUUUCGGCUAGGGAUGGGCCCGCGGCCUAUCAGCUUGUUGGUGAGGUAAUGGCCCACCAAGGCGACGACGGGUAGCCGGCCUGAGAGGGCGAUCGGCCACACUGGGACUGAGACACGGCCCAG